rnacentral:tRNA from 1 species
AGGGAGACCUAAUUCAGGUAGGAGACGAAAAAAAAGUAGUCCCUACCAAGAAUCAAUCCCAAAAGGUCGGAGCGAGGCAAAAUUGGCUUUCAAACUAGGUUCUGGGUUCACACAAGACCUGAAUCAGGAACAAGGGCUAUUAGCUCAGGUGGUUAGAGCGCACCCCUGAUAAGGGUGAGGUCCCUGGUUCGAGUCCAGGAUGGCCCACCUGUACAGGUGGCAAAAAGAAAGAAAAGAAGCGAGGAAUCAGCACCUUAUCUUACUUAUAUAGUAAGAGAGAAUGCUGGCUCUGAGUUCAGAGUCCAGAGGAACCUUGAAAACUGCAUAGAGCUAGGUGAAAAAGCCAAAAAAGAAGACCGCAA